rnacentral:misc_RNA from 1 species
GAUGAAGAACGUAGCGAAAUGCGAUAAGUAAUGUGAAUUGCAGAAUUCAGUGAAUCAUCGAAUCUUUGAACGCACAUUGCGCCCCCUGGUAUUCCGGGGGGCAUGCCUGUUCGAGCGUCAUUUCACCACUCAAGCCUCGCUUGGUAUUGGGCAACGCGGUCCGCCGCGUGCCUCAAAUCGACCGGCUGGGUCUUCUGUCCCCUAAGCGUUGUGGAAACUAUUCGCUAAAGGGUGUUCGGGAGGCUACGCCGUAAAACAACCCCAUUUCUAAGGUUGACCUCGGAUCAGGUAGGGAUACCCGCUGAACUUAAGCAUAUCAAUAAGCGGAA